CCUACGGGAGGCAGCAGUAGGGAAUAUUGGGCAAUGGAGGCAACUCUGACCCAGCCAUGCCGCGUGCAGGAAGACGGUCCUCUGGAUUGUAAACUGCUUUUGAAUGGGAAGAAUGUGCUCCUUGCGAGGGGUAAUGACGGUACCAUUAGAAUAAGCCACGGCUAACUACGUGCCAGCAGCCGCGGUAAUACGUAGGUGGCGAGCGUUAUCCGGAUUUAUUGGGUUUAAAGGGUGCGUAGGCGGCUUAAUAAGUCGGUGGUUAAAAGUAGCAGCUUAACUGUUUUACAUGCCAUCGAUACUGUUGAGCUUGAGAUAUUUGGAGGCAGCUAGAAUUUCCGGUGUAGCGGUGAAAUGCAUAGAUACCGGAAGGAAUACCAAUUGCGAAGGCAGGUUGCUACGAAUAAACUGACGCUGAUGCACGAAAGCGUGGGGAUCAAACAGGAUUAGAUACCCUGGUAGUCCACGCCGUAAACGAUGAUUACUAGUUGUUGGGGUUUAAGCCUCNGUGACGAACGGAACCGAACGUAAGUAAGUACCGACCGUACGGGAGGUACGGCCGGCGACGGUACGUAAACGUACGAAAGUUAAGUUAGUACGGUUCGUUGAGACGNGCCGACGGACGACGACGAGGGAGGAGG
rnacentral:rRNA from 1 species